rnacentral:rRNA from 1 species
CCUACGGGAGGCUGCAGUAGGGAAUCUUUCACAAUGGGCGAAAGCCUGAUGGAGCAACGCCGCGUGCAGUAUGAAGGCCUUCGGGUUGUAAACUGCUUUUAUAAGCGAGAAAUAUGAUGGUAACUUAUGAAUAAGGAUCGGCUAACUACGUGCCAGCAGCCGCGGUCAUACGUAGGAUCCGAGCAUUAUCCGGAGUGACUGGGUGUAAAGUGUUGCGUAUGUGGAAUAAUAAGUAGCUAGUGAAAUCUGGUGGCUCAACCAUUCAGACUAUUAGGUAAACUGUUAAGCUCGAGACCGUUAGAGGUAACUGGAAUUGGUAGGGGAGGGGUGAAAGGCGGAGAUAUUAGGAGGAACACCGAUAGCGAAGGCAGGUUGCUGGGACGGUACUGACACUAAGGAACGAAAGCGUAGGGAGAAAACAGGAGUAGAUAC